GGAAACCAUGCCUUUCUCCAAAUCCAGCCCAUCAUUCCAAGUGCACUUCUCUCUUUGGAUUCGUGAGCAUAACUGAAGAGAGUGCACGAGGGUUCUAGCGGAUAUCGACUAAUUUUAAGUUUUCGAGCCCAGAAAAUUCCUUGUUUUAACUAAUCUCCCGUUAAACCGAAGCAAGGCAUGGUCAACCACAACAAAGAUGGCGGCAGCAACGUCUCCACGGCAACGGCGACGCAUUUGUCCGCAAGCGCACCAACCUUUUGUUCCGGCCUGCCAUUUUGACGUCACUUCCGGCUCCGGCGGGCGGUGUGCGCGCAGCUCUUCCUGUUGCUGCUGCGGUGGAGAUCCCGGUCCUGGUGAGUGGAGUCUGAGUGAGUCUCGCGGAGGGACUCGGAGAGAAUGGGGCACCAGCAGCAUGGAAAGGGAAGGUGGGAAGAACGCGCCUGUUGUCGCAGUUGUGACUGAGCCUCGGUUUACCCAGCGAUACAGGGAAUAUCUCGAGAAGCAGAAACUCUUGGAUAGACAGCACCGUGUGGCAAAGAUGCCGGAUGGCACCGUGGCGCUACCCGUGCUGGGCGAGGCUCUCCGUGAACAGCACCUGCGGGAGCUGAGGAAUUGUGUGGCCCCAGGCAGCACCUGUAUAGUAACCCAGCUCCUGGAUCCUGUUCCCUCCAAGAAGGCUCAGAGUUGUUCACCUGCCCAAAGGCUGUGUCUUGAAGUGAGUCGCUGGGUAGAGGGCCGGGGAGUGACGUGGUCAGCUGAGUUGGAGGCUGAUUUGCCCCGAUCUUGGCAACGACAUGGUAACCUCUUGUUGCUGAGUGAAGACUGUUUCCAAGCCAAGCAGUGGAAAAAUCUGGAACCAGAACUCUGGGAGACUGUUGCGUCGGCCCUUGGCGUCCGUCGUGUGGCCAAACGAGGGCGGGUAUCACCAGACGGCACUCGAACACCAGCCGUGACUCUGCUGCUGGGCGACCAUGGCUGGGUAGAGCAUGUCGAUAAUGGGAUCCGAUAUAAGUUUGACGUGACCCGGUGCAUGUUCUCCUUCGGAAACAUCACGGAGAAGCUUCGAGUGGCAUCGCUGCCCUGUGCCAGAGAGGUGCUGGUGGAUCUCUACGCAGGGAUUGGCUAUUUUACGUUGCCCUUCCUGGUCCAUGCUGGCGCUGCCUUCGUCCACGCCUGUGAGUGGAACCCCCAUGCUGUAGUUGCCCUGAGAACUAAUCUUGAGAUCAAUGGAGUGGCAGAUCGGUGCCAAAUACACUUUGGGGAUAACAGAAAACUGAAGCUCUCAAACAUUGCAGACAGGGUGAACCUGGGGCUGAUUCCCAGCUCUGAAGAAGGCUGGCCCAUUGCCUGCCAGGUGCUAAAACAGGAUGCUGGGGGCAUUUUGCAUAUCCACCAAAAUGUGGAAUCUUUCCCAGGGAAGAAUCUCCAGCCUCUUGGAAGCAGUGAAAUGGGGAAGGAGCAUUGGCCUUAUCCUCAGCAAAUUAUCACCAACCAAGGGACAAAUGGAGCUACCGGGGAUUCUAGGAGAAAAACACUGCCAGCAGCCACCAAACCAGAGUGGCAGAGGUGGGCAGAAUCUGCAGAAACUCGUAUUGCCACCCUUCUUCGGCAGGUGCACGGGAAACCAUGGAAGACACAAAUCCUGCACAUCCAACCAGUGAAAUCCUACGCUCCCCAUGUGGACCACAUAGUCUUGGAUCUGGAAUGCCGCCCCUGCCCUCUAGUUGGCUAGAGAAGGUGGAUCCUGAGACCCAAGGAUCUACGUGUGGACAUCAGGGCCAACGUGAGGAGCUCUAGGGAGUGAGAGAUAUUCUGCAGGGUUUCUCAAGCGUCACUUUGUUUUGUGACUGUCUGCCAGCACCGUUGUGUGCCCCUGGAAUGACUGAUCGCAGAGAAGCACUGUUUACCUUUGGAAUGACUAAUAGUUGAGAAUCACUUUUCGGAGCUGUGUUUUCGUGCACUUCGAAGCCAUCUGGGCUCGUUUGCCUGAUGAAGGACGCACAGGGACGUUGUGCUUUCUCAGGAUUAUGACUGUGUCUGGCAUUCAGUUUGUUGGGCUCGAGCUGGGGCUGCUCGUCCUUCUCGGGACAGCGUCAGUAAGGACAGGAUUGGUGCUGUUUAUGCUUCCACGCAAAUGAAGUGCCUGCUGUCUAUAUGAGCUGCACAUGCAUUCGAUACAGACCCUGUCUCUGAGGAGUUCACAACCUAGCAGCAGAAAUAACACAAAAACUCAGAGCUGGAAUACAGUAGGUACCGUCAGAGUGAUAGCACCACGUAGAAGUGCAAAGGUGAAGAAGAGUUUUCAGAAUGGGGAAGCCUUCAGAGGGGUGGUGUUUGACCCGGCUCUUAAAAACUGGGUAAGAUUUUGUUAGUGAGUCAGGCUGGAAACAGAUGCUAGCGGAAGAAGAUAGUGAGUGCAGAGAGUUGGCUCAGAAGAUGUUUGGAGCACCGUCACUAGAGCAGCCCGGAACAGAAGAAGCGGCGAGAGGUGUGUUGAAGAUGGAGGCCGUUGUAAGGAUGAAAGAGAAUAGCGUCCGGUACCCAGUAAGCCCCCAGGAAGUGGUAGCCGUCGUGGGAUCCCAUCGCAGAAGGGGGCCUGACUGGUCCAUUACCAUCCCACCGAGUGGCCUGUGUUUGCCCGAAUCCUCUCCUCUUCCCCAUGUUGGUUUCUGACACGCGUGCCUGCGGCUCUUGUGCCUCCGGCUAAAAAUGCCACGCUGGGACUGGAGGCCUCGUGGGGAGGAAGGAAGGCAGGGGAGAAACAGGGAGGAAGGGGAGUCAGGGAGCCACGUGGCUAGGGGCUGAGGAGUUACCUUUCUGACCUAAGCUAUGGAUGGGCCGCUGACAUCAGAUACACCUGACUGGUCUCGUUGGACCUGUUACGUACACAUCAGGCCUUGAGUGUUCGGUGGUCAAAGAAGAUUGACAUGGAUUCUGCCUUCAUGGAAUUGAGGUUCCACUCAUACACUUUCUGGCCUCCCUUCUUUCUCUGUGACCUGAGGCAGUCUCUCAAGAUUUAGUGUCCUCGUCUGUACAUACGGGUUAACAAGUGUCCGUAGCCCGAAGCAUACUUGUUAGGGUUAAGCGAGUUAACGGACCUGAACCGGCAACACCGUGACUGGCACGUAGUGAGUACUUCAGUCUUCGUGUAAGGUGAACUGCCCGGUUCCUACUUUGGGCGUGAGGAAUUGCUGUACAUUUGCUUUAGUUAAAGUAGAAGGUCCUUGUUUGGAAAAGCCAUUCACUGAUUAAUUGGGACGUACCGUGUACUCUCGCUGUCAGGCACCGUGCUGAGGGCCAGAGACACAGAGUUUCAGCUGGGCCCAUGUGCCAAAGGGGAUGCAGGAUCUAAGCAACAUGUACCAGCAGGAGCCAUGAGAGUACGUAUGGAACUGAGCCCUGAGAGUGCUGGGUGAGAAGCAGUUUGCGUUCAUGUAGGACUCCACUCCCCCAUCAUUAUAGUCUGAGGAGACCUAGGCCAUGGGAACAUCUCAAGGAACACCCUACUAACCUACUAUACUUACGGCGUCAUACUCAUUAGGCCAGAGAAACAAUGAGCUAGUAUAUUGUACUCCGAAUAAUCACUAAUACCAUCCAGCAACCUGUUCCAUCAGUGAGAUUUUUAGGGCUACUGGUCUGCUGGAAUGCCAAGAUUGCUCCUUCACGGUAAAGAACAGAUUUUUCCAUCUCACCCACUCAUCAGUGUUCCUCCGUCAAGGAAGCACGCCAACCUCUGUAUGCCUCUUUGUGGGAAUUCGGGACUUGGGAAUACUGCUCUGACUCCUAUCCUGGGUGAUAUAGAAGGCUGCCAGUUUUCAGUGGGAUCCACAGCACAUAAAGUCUCUGUAGCAGGUACAGGUUGCGGUGUAAUUAGCUUUGUUUCAUGGACCAUUCAAUCCAGGAGAUUCUAUGGUACAAGAGUAUCUGUGAUAAGCAAAGCAGCCAUGGAAGUUUAGGACAAGCUCCAAUGGGAAAAUCACAAGGUAGUCUCAAGUGGAUGUCUGUAGCAAGGCCAGAUGGUAUGCAGCAGAGAGCCAGGCGUCAUCCAAAAAUGGCUCCUGGCAUGCUAAUGGGCGUUGGUAGAAUCUGAGCAUCUUCUGGGACUUCGGGUAACCACGUAGCCAGAGUUGCCCAUCAUGAGCUGAGUUUUGUCAGACCCUUCAAGUCAAACCAUCAUAAGGUGGAAGUGGUACAUCUGGGAUGGAUGGCGAGAGCCAGAGGAAACGAAUAGGUGCACAGGUAGGUGGCCCAGACUCCUGUGUCAUGUUUAUAAUUCUUGCAUCAAUGCCCUUCCCUUGGCCCACAAUCAUGGCCACUUGAGAAGCUCUUCUGUCUUGCUGAUAAAGGAUGCAAAUGCAGAGCUAAGUUCAUUGAUGGGUUUUCUUGGAAUACGGGUUCAAAAUCAAAAUAAACUGCUGCUACCCUACAGCCCUACUCAGGAGUGGUCUUAAAAGACAGCAGGGAAGGGUAUCUUCCCACAGGGCAGAACUGGGGGCAAUAUUCCUGGUCAUCCACCUCGUAUGGAAAGAGAAGUUGCCUGAAGUAAGAAUAUACCUUCAUGGCAAGUGGCAGGUUAGCAGAUUGAUCAGGGGCCUGGAGUGGGAAAGAUUAGUUCAGGGACAAUGAAGCCUGGAGAAGAGGUGGUGGGGAAUCUAUGGGAUUGGAUACAUGAGUAAAGAGCUUUGUGUUGUGUAAGUGCCUACCGGAGACAUGCACAUCAAAGAGGAACUCAACAAGUAAACGAAAGACUUGGCUGGUUAAUUUUAGCAGCGGUCGUCAUAAGCUACCCCAGUAGCAUAAAGAGCUUAUGAAUAACAUGUUGCAGGGAUGCAGGUUAGCAAGUUGCCAACAGCAUGGCUUCUACUCACCAAAGAGCUUAGUAUUCAGUGCUGAGCCCUUGGUUCAACACCAUCCCUCAAGAAAACCAAGCAGCUAAUUGGGAGUAAAUGGGUUACAUUGGGCUUCUGUCAUGGAAGGGCAGUGAUUCACCUUGACUAGAAUCUUCCUAUGUGCAUCCAGGAGUUUACCUUUCCUGCUGCCCACAAGAUGUUGGCCAGUGCUGCUAUCCAAAGGUUUACAGUGUUCGAUCCAUCAAUAUGUCUCCUGCAUAAUAUUGCCUCUGAACAGCAAAGGAAGUGUUUGAGUGGGCACAUGACCAGGUGAUUCAUUGAUCCUAUCACAUACUAUACAACCAAGAAAAUGCUGGCCUGGUGGAGUGGUGGAAAAACCUUUUGAAACCAAAUCAAAGCUUGAAGAUAAUGCCCUAUGAAUGGGAUCCCAUUCGCCAGGAUGCAGUAUACACUCUAAAUCCAUACCUAUUUCAUAAUGAGUGCCAUGUCCCAUUUAGAUAGAAAAUCCACAGCUAGGAAUUAAAGGGUAGAAAUAGGAGAAUUUCCAUUGUGGCGGGCUAAACAAUGUCCCCCAAAUAUGUCCAUGUCCUGAUACCCAGAACCAGUAAAUAUAUUAUCUUAACAUGAUAAAAGGGACUUUACAGGUGUGAUUAAGUUAAUCUCAAGAUGAGGAAAGUAUCCUGGUUUAUCCAUGUUGGCCUGAUAUAAUCUCAGGGGCUCUUAUAAGAGGGCCUUAUACAAUACAAGUAGGACGUAGGACGUGUGAUGACAAAAGCAGGACAGAGUAACAUAAGGAAGAGGCCACGAGCCAAGGAAUGUUGGAGGCCUCUGGAAACUGAAAAAGGCAGGGAAAUGGAUUCUCCCCCAGAAUGCUUCAGGAGGAACAGAGCGGUUGAUACCUUGAUUCUAGACUUCUGACCUCCAUAACUAUGAGAGAAGAAAUUUAUGUUGCUGUAAAUCACUAAGUUUGUGGUAAUUUGUUAUAGCAGCAAUAGGAAGUUAAUACACCCACUUUCUGUCCCCACUGCCCCCUGUCUCCCCCCCCACCCCCGGGAGUUCAUGCCUCCCGUCUCCACAACUUUGUGAGACUAGAGGGCUGAUCCCCAAUUGGGAAGCUCUUUCAUAAGGAGAUACAAUAACAGACCCUUUACACUUUAACCUACUGAGAUUUCCCAGGCAUGUCAGGCUCCUUGUGCUAAGAGACCAGCAGGCAAGCAAGGAAGAGUCACCACUCUGGUUGGGGAUAAGUGAAUCUGAUCAUCAGGAGGAAGGAGGGUUAUUGUCACACAGUGAGGGCAGGAAAGAGUAUAUUUCACGCUUACUCCACCCACUAGGGGGUCUCUUGAUACUUCCCUACCCAGUAUCAAGAGUAAAAUGGGUGGCUUCCAAAAUGACACAGUAAGGACCUCUGAAAACUGGCUUCUCCAUAAAAUUAAUGAGAAGACUGGCGCAAAUUGUCCAAAUCAACUUUUCUUUUUAGAACUUUAGAAACUAAAAGCUUACAGCAAUCUGAAGAUCAUUUAUUUUUAAAACUGAGAAAUUUUGAUUAAAAAGGGAAGCUCUGGCAUUCUAAAGUGUCCAAUUCCCACUCCC